rnacentral:rRNA from 1 species
UACAGAGGGUGCAAGCGUUAAUCGGAAUUACUGGGCGUAAAGCGUGCGUAGUCGGUUAUCUAAGUCGGAUGUGAAAUCCCCGGGCUCAACCUGGGAAUUGCAUUCGAUACUGGAUAGCUAGAGUUCGGCAGAGGGAAGUGGAAUUUCGGGUGUAGCGGUGAAAUGCGUAGAUAUCCGAAGGAACAUCAGUGGCGAAAGCGACUUCCUGGACCAGAACUGACGAUCAGGCACGAAAGCGUGGGUAGCAAACAGG